rnacentral:rRNA from 1 species
AAAAACAUGUCCUUUUGUUUAUUUAUUUAAGGUCUGACCUGCCCAAUGAGGAAUUGAAUGGCCGCAGUAUUUUAACUGUGCUAAGGUAGCAUAAUCAUUUGUCUUUUAAUUGAGGGCUGGAAUGAAGGGUUGGACGAGGUAUUAACUUUCUUUGAUUUAAUGAGGAGAAUUUAAUUUUUGAGUUAAAAAGCUUAAAUUUAUUUGUGGGACGAGAAGACCCUAUAGAUCUUUAUAGUUUUAUAUUUUAGUAAUUUGGUGAUUUAUUUGUUUUAAGUAGAUGAACUAUUUUGUUGGGGUGACUGUAGAAUUUAAAUAACUUCUAUUAUUUUAUUUCAUUAAUUAAUGUUUUUGUGAUCCAUAUUUUAUGAUUAUAAGAUUAAGUUACCUUAGGGAUAACAGCGUAAUUUCCUCGGAGAGUUCAUAUUGAAGUGGGAG